AGAAUAAACGUUGGCGGCGUGCUUAACACAUGCAAGUCGAGCGAGAAAGGUCUUCGGAUUGAGUACAGCGGCAAACGGGUGAGUAACACGUGGGAAUCUACCUUUAAGUGGAGAAUACCCUCGAGAAAUCGAGGUUAAUACUGCAUACGUCUCGAAAGAGAGAAAGAUGGCCUCUUUGCUAUCGCUGAAAGAUGAGCCUGCGGACUAUUAGCUAGUUGGUAGGUAAUGGCCUACCAAGGCGAUGAUGGUUA
rnacentral:rRNA from 1 species